AAAUUGAAGAGUUUGAUCAUGGCUCAGAUUGAACGCUGGCGGCAGGCCUAACACAUGCAAGUCGAACGGUAACAGGAAGCAGCUUGCUGCUUCGCUGACGAGUGGCGGACGGGUGAGUAAUGUCUGGGAAACUGCCUGAUGGAGGGGGAUAACUACUGGAAACGGUGGCUAAUACCGCAUAACGUCGCAAGACCAAAGAGGGGGACCUUCGGGCCUCUUGCCAUCAGAUGUGCCCAGAUGGGAUUAGCUAGUUGGUGAGGUAACGGCUCACCAAGGCGACGAUCCCUAGCUGGUCUGAGAGGAUGACCAGCCACACUGGAACUGAGACACGGUCCAGACUCCUACGGGAGGCAGCAGUGGGGAAUAUUGCACAAUGGGCGCAAGCCUGAUGCAGCCAUGCCGCGUGUAUGAAGAAGGCCUUCGGGUUGUAAAGUACUUUCAGCGGGGAGGAAGGUGUUGUGGUUAAUAACCGCAGCAAUUGACGUUACCCGCAGAAGAAGCACCGGCUAACUCCGUGCCAGCAGCCGCGGUAAUACGGAGGGUGCAAGCGUUAAUCGGAAUUACUGGGCGUAAAGCGCACGCAGGCGGUCUGUCAAGUCGGAUGUGAAAUCCCCGGGCUCAACCUGGGAACUGCAUUCGAAACUGGCAGGCUUGAGUCUUGUAGAGGGGGGUAGAAUUCCAGGUGUAGCGGUGAAAUGCGUAGAGAUCUGGAGGAAUACCGGUGGCGAAGGCGGCCCCCUGGACAAAGACUGACGCUCAGGUGCGAAAGCGUGGGGAGCAAACAGGAUUAGAUACCCUGGUAGUCCACGCCGUAAACGAUGUCUACUUGGAGGUUGUGCCCUUGAGGCGUGGCUUCCGGAGCUAACGCGUUAAGUAGACCGCCUGGGGAGUACGGCCGCAAGGUUAAAACUCAAAUGAAUUGACGGGGGCCCGCACAAGCGGUGGAGCAUGUGGUUUAAUUCGAUGCAACGCGAAGAACCUUACCUGGUCUUGACAUCCACAGAACUUUCCAGAGAUGGAUUGGUGCCUUCGGGAACUGUGAGACAGGUGCUGCAUGGCUGUCGUCAGCUCGUGUUGUGAAAUGUUGGGUUAAGUCCCGCAACGAGCGCAACCCUUAUCCUUUGUUGCCAGCGGUUAGGCCGGGAACUCAAAGGAGACUGCCAGUGAUAAACUGGAGGAAGGUGGGGAUGACGUCAAGUCAUCAUGGCCCUUACGACCAGGGCUACACACGUGCUACAAUGGCGCAUACAAAGAGAAGCGACCUCGCGAGAGCAAGCGGACCUCAUAAAGUGCGUCGUAGUCCGGAUUGGAGUCUGCAACUCGACUCCAUGAAGUCGGAAUCGCUAGUAAUCGUGGAUCAGAAUGCCACGGUGAAUACGUUCCCGGGCCUUGUACACACCGCCCGUCACACCAUGGGAGUGGGUUGCAAAAGAAGUAGGUAGCUUAACCUUCGGGAGGGCGCUUACCACUUUGUGAUUCAUGACUGGGGUGAAGUCGUAACAAGGUAACCGUAGGGGAACCUGCGGUUGGAUCACCUCCUUACCUUAAAGAAGC
rnacentral:rRNA from 9 species